rnacentral:rRNA from 1 species
CCAAUAGCGUAUAUUAAAGUUGUUGCAGUUAAAAAGCUCGUAGUUGAAUUUCGGGGUCAGUAGGUUGGUCGUGCCUAUGGUAUGUACUGGCUUUACUGAUUCCUCCUUCUUGAAGAACUGUAAUGUCAUUAAUUUGGUGUUGCAGGGAAACAGGACUGUUACUUUGAAAAAAUUAGAGUGUUUAGAGCAGGCUAACGCUUGAAUACAUUAGCAUGGAAUAAUGAAAUAGGACGUUCGAUCCUAUUUUGUUGGUUUCUAGGAUUGACGUAAUGAUUAAUAGGGAUAGUUGGGGGCAUUAGUAUUCAAUUGUCAGAGGUGAAAUUCUUGGAUUUAUUGAAGACUAACUACUGCGAAAGCAUUUGCCAAGGAUGUUUUCAUUAAUCAAGAACGAAAGUUAGGGGAUCGAAGACGAUCAGAUACCGUCGUAGUCUUAACCAUAAACUAUGCCGACUAGGGAUCGGAUGAUGUUAAUUUUUUAAUGACUCAUUCGGCGCCUUACG